rnacentral:rRNA from 1 species
AGUGAACGCUGGCAGCGUGCUUAACACAUGCAAGUCGAACGAGAACGGGUUAUAGCUUGCUAUAAUUGUCAGCUAAGUGGCGCACGGGUGAGUAAUGUAUAGGUAAUAUGCCUCUUACUAAGGGAUAACAAAUGGAAACGUUUGCUAAUACCUUAUACUCCUUAUUAACAGAAGUUAAUAAGGGAAAGAUUUAUUGGUAAGAGAUUAGCCUGUAUUGUAUCAGUUAGUUGGUGGGGUAAUGGCUUACCAAGACUAUGACACAUAACUGGUUUGAGAGGAUGAUCGGUCACACUGGAACUGAGACACGGUCCAGACUCCUACGGGAGGCAGCAGUGGGGAAUAUUGCACAAUGGACGAAAGUCUGAUGCAGCAACGCCGCGUGGAGGAUGACACAUUUCGGUGCGUAAACUCCUUUUAUAUGAGAAGAUAAUGACGGUAUUAUAUGAAUAAGCACCGGCUAACUCCGUGCCAGCAGCCGCAGUAA